GUGCUCACUUCAGUAUCACAUGUACUAAAAUGGGAAGGAUACACAGAGAUUAGCAUGGCCCUUUGCACAAGGUUGAUAUGCAAAUUUUUUAAGCAUUCAGUAUUUUA